rnacentral:rRNA from 1 species
ACAUCUCUGCAGUCGUCCUGUGCAUGUCAAACCCAGGUAAGGUUCUUCGCGUUGCAUCGAAUUAAUCCACAUGCUCCGCCGCUUGUGCGGGCCCCCGUCAAUUCCUUUGAGUUUUAGCCUUGCGGCCGUACUCCCCAGGCGGGGUACUUAAUGCGUUAGCUACGGCACGGAUCCCAAGGAAGGAAACCCACACCUAGUACCCACCGUUUACGGCGUGGACUACCAGGGUAUCUAAUCCUGUUCGCUCCCCACGCUUUCGCUCCUCAGCGUCAGUUACUGCCCAGAGACCCGCCUUCGCCACCGGUGUUCCUCCUGAUAUCUGCGCAUUCCACCGCUACACCAGGAAUUCCAGUCUCCCCUGCAGUACUCUAGUCUGCCCGUAUCGCCCGCACGCCCACAGUUAAGCUGUGAGUUUUCACGAACAACGCGACAAACCACCUACGAGCUCUUUACGCCCAGUAAUUCCGGACAACGCUCGGACCCUACGUAUUACCGCGGCUGCUGGCACGUAGUUGGCCGGUCCUUCUUCUAUAGGUACCGUCACUUGCGCUUCGUCCCUAUUGAAAGAGGUUUACAACCCGAAGGCCGUCAUCCCUCACGCGGCGUCGCUGCAUCAGGCUUGCGCCCAUUGUGCAAUAUUCCCCACUGCUGCCUCCCGUAGGAGUCUGGGCCGUAUCUCAGUCCCAGUGUGGCCGGUCACCCUCUCAGGCCGGCUACCCGUCGUCGCCUUGGUAGGCCAUUACCCCACCAACAAGCUGAUAGGCCGCGGGCCCAUCCCACACCGCAAAAGCUUUCCACCACACACCAUGAAGCGCGUGGUCAUAUUCGGUAUUAGACCCAGUUUCCCAGGCUUAUCCCAAAGUGCAGGGCAGAUCACCCA